GUUUGGAAUUAAAUGAUAAAACUUAAAUGUGUUGGAUCUUCUAAACUACGCGAGGUAUUUCUGUCUUUGGUGGACCUUCAUAGUUUAUUGUUUAUCUAUGAUAUCAUGACCCCAUAACAUUUAGGAAGCAAAGAGAAGUACCAACUGCACACAAUGGCACACUGGGUUACAAAUAUCUUAAUCGGUUUAUAUCUGAGCAGGCUUCUUUCUUGUAGUAUAUGAAAAUUUCAGUAUCAUAGAAAUCCACCAUCUAAAAAUAAAUUUACCUGAUUUUAUUUCAUUUUGUAUGCAAUGCCGAAUAGAUUUCAUUUCCUCGUCAGAAAUGUUUUUGACCAAAAUUUCAUUAAGAUGAUCUGUAUACAGCCUUGUUGGUUUGUUAUGUUGAUUAAAUCUUUCUAAAACAUCAGCUAAAAUAUCACAUAACUCUUUAAAACGUGUGUCGUCCAGCUUAAAUGAACUUGCGUGUUGCAUAUCAUUUCUUGUAAGUCUCAUGCGUUCAAUAUCAUCUCCAAUCAGUAUGUCUGUAUUCUGAAUUCUUUGCCAUUGACCUCCCCAUGAAUUACUGUGGAAUGUGUUUAUUUAAGUUUCCUGUGCUCACU
rnacentral:lncRNA from 1 species